GUUCACGCCAUUCUCCUGCCUCAGCCUCCUGACUAGCUAGGACUACAGGCUUGGGUCACCACGCCCGGCUACUUUUUUGUCUUUUUAGUAGAGACUGGGUUUCACUGUGUUAGCCAGGAUGGUCUCGAUCUCCUGACCUCGUGAUCUGCCCACCUGGGCCUCCCAAAGUACUGGGAUUACAGGCGUGAGCCACCGCGCCCGGCGGUUGUUGUUUUUACUACAUUUACUACAUUAUAUCCCAAGCAGUAGGCAUGGGUUCUAGUACACAGCAGACAGCAGUAUUAUUAUUAAAACAGAAAACAAAAAGCAAACAAACAAACAAAAAAAAACAGGAUCUAGCACAGUGCUGGUCCCUUGUAAACAUUCAGUAAUUCAUAGUUAUUUCAUCCUGUUUACCGGCACAUUGUAGGCGAUCAAUAGAUAAUUGUUCAAAGAGCGAUUCAGGUCUUCUUAGGACUGAGAUAAAGAGAUAGAUGGACACCGCCGGGCGCGGUGACUCACUCCUAUAAUCCCAGAACUACAAAAAUUAGCCGGGCGUAAUGGCACGCGCUUGUAGUCCCAGCUAGGCAGGAGAAUCGCUUGAACCUGGGAGGUGGAGGUUGCAGUGAGCCGAGAUCGCGUCAUUGCCCGGGUGACAGAGCGAGAGUCCGUCUUAAAAAAAAGAAGAGAGAAAGUGAAUUAUCCGGAGCCUUUAGACUGGGUUUGGACUUCUCCGUGGCGCAUGGACUUGGCUUUGGAGGAGUUGGCAUUUCCCAGCUGGGGAGGUGAAAGGGCGCCCGCUCCGGCCGGCACCAUGGACAGCGAGGCAUUCCAGAGCGCGCGGGACUUUCUGGACAUGAACUUCCAGUCGCUGGCCAUGAAACACAUGGAUCUGAAGCAGAUGGAGCUGGACACGGCGGCGGCCAAGGUGGAUGAACUGACCAAGCAGCUGGAGUCGCUGUGGUCAGACUCUCCCGCGCCUCCUGGCCCGCAAGCCGGACCCCCUUCUAGGCCGCCCCGGUACAGCUCCAGCUCGAUCCCUGAGCCCUUUGGCAGCCGAGGGUCCCCCCGGAAGGCGGCCGCCGAUGGCGCAGACACCCCGUUCGGACGAUCAGAGAGUGCCCCAACCCUGCACCCCUACAGCCCGCUGUCCCCCAAGGGCCGGCCGUCGUCACCACGCACUCCGCUCUACCUGCAGCCGGACGCCUACGGCAGCUUGGACCGCGCGCCCUCGCCCCGACCCCGCGCCUUCGAUGGCUCAGGCAGCUCCCUUGGCCGUGCGCCCUCCCCGCGGCCCGGGCCAGGCCCGCUCCGCCAGCAGGGUCCUCCCACGCCUUUCGACUUCCUGGGCCGCGCAGGCUCCCCCCGUGGCAGCCCCCUGGCGGAGGGGCCCCAGGCCUUCUUCCCAGAGCGCGGGCCUUCACCGCGCCCCCCUGCCACCGCCUACGACGCGCCAGCGUCCGCCUUCGGGAGCUCCCU
rnacentral:lncRNA from 1 species